rnacentral:rRNA from 1 species
GACGAACGCUGGCGGCGUGCUUAACACAUGCAAGUCGAACGGAAAGGCCCUGCUUUUGUGGGGUGCUCGAGUGGCGAACGGGUGAGUAACACGUGAGUAACCUGCCCGUGACUUUGGGAUAACUUCAGGAAACUGGGGCUAAUACCGGAUAGGAGCGCCUGCUGCAUGGUGGGGGUUGGAAAGUUUCGGCGGUUGGGGAUGGACUCGCGGCUUAUCAGCUUGCUGGUGGGGUAGUGGCUUGCCAAGGCGUUGACGGGUAGCCGGCCUGAGAGGGUGACCGGCGACAUUGGGACUGAGAUAAGGCCCAGACUCCUACGGGAGGAAGCAGUGGGGAAUAGUGCACAAUGGGCGGAAGCCUGAUGCAGCGACGCCGCGUGCGGGAUGGCGGCCUUCGGGUGGUAAACAGCUUUCGCCUGUGACGAAGCGUGAGUGACGGUAAUGGGUAAAGAAGCACCGGCUAACUACGUG